rfam:Gregarina niphandrodes unplaced genomic scaffold scaffold00269, whole genome shotgun sequence.
GCGUGGGUAGUCUAGUGGAACGACACUCCCUUUAACAUAUCGUGUGCUUGGGAGAAAGCCAGGGUUCGAAUCCCUGCCCAGGCA